rnacentral:rRNA from 1 species
ACAGCAGUCGCCACGGUAAUACGUAGGUGGCAAGCGUUGUCCGGAAUUAUUGGGCGUAAAGGGCUCGCAGGCGGUUUCUUAAGUCUGAUGUGAAAGCCCCCGGCUCAACCGGGGAGGGUCAUUGGAAACUGGGAAACUUGAGUGCAGAAGAGGAGAGUGGAAUUCCACGUGUAGCGGUGAAAUGCGUAGAGAUGUGGAGGAACACCAGUGGCGAAGGCGACUCUCUGGUCUGUAACUGACGCUGAGGAGCGAAAGCGUGGGGAGCGAACAGGAUUAGAGACCCCAGUAGUCCCUGUCUCUUAUAC